CCUACGGGGGGCAGCAGUGGGGAAUAUUGGGCAAUGGGCGCAAGCCUGACCCAGCAACGCCGCGUGAAGGAAGAAGGCUUUCGGGUUGUAAACUUCUUUUCUCAGGGACGAAGCAAGUGACGGUACCUGAGGAAUAAGCCACGGCUAACUACGUGCCAGCAGCCGCGGUAAUACGUAGGUGGCAAGCGUUAUCCGGAUUUACUGGGUGUAAAGGGCGUGUAGGCGGGAAAGCAAGUCAGAUGUGAAAACCAUGGGCUCAACCUGUGGCCUGCAUUUGAAACUGUAUUUCUUGAGUGCUGGAGAGGCAAUCGGAAUUCCGUGUGUAGCGGUGAAAUGCGUAGAUAUACGGAGGAACACCAGUGGCGAAGGCGGAUUGCUGGACAGUAACUGACGCUGAGGCGCGAAAGCGUGGGGAGCAAACAGGAUUAGAUACCCCUGUAGUC
rnacentral:rRNA from 1 species